rnacentral:rRNA from 1 species
GACGAACGCUGGCGGCGUGCUUAACACAUGCAAGUCGAACGGAAAGGCCCUGCUUUUGUGGGGUGCUCGAGUGGCGAACGGGUGAGUAACACGUGAGUAACCUGCCCUUGACUUUGGGAUAACUUCAGGAAACUGGGGCUAAUACCGGAUAGGAGCUCCUGCUGCAUGGUGGGGGUUGGAAAGUUUCGGCGGUUGGGGAUGGACUCGCGGCUUAUCAGCUUGUUGGUGGGGUAGUGGCUUACCAAGGCUUUGACGGGUAGCCGGCCUGAGAGGGUGACCGGCCACAUUGGGACUGAGAUACGGCCCAGACUCCUACGGGAGGCAGCAGUGGGGAAUAUUGCACAAUGGGCGGAAGCCUGAUGCAGCAACGCCGCGUGCGGGAUGAAGGCCUUCGGGUGGUAAACCGCUUUCGCCUGUGACGAAGCGUGAGUGACGGUAAUGGGUAAAGAAGCACCGGCUAACUACGU